GCGUUGGUGGUGUGAUGGUCAGCAUAGUUGCCUUCCAAGCAGUUGAUCCGGGUUCGAUUCCCGGCCAACGUA
rnacentral:tRNA from 1 species